CAGUAGCCGCGGUAAUACGUAGGUCCCGAGCGUUGUCCGGAUUUAUUGGGCGUAAAGCGAGCGCAGGCGGUUAGAUAAGUCUGAAGUUAAAGGCUGUGGCUUAACCAUAGUACGCUUUGGAAACUGUUUAACUUGAGUGCAAGAGGGGAGAGUGGAAUUCCAUGUGUAGCGGUGAAAUGCGUAGAUAUAUGGAGGAACACCGGUGGCGAAAGCGGCUCUCUGGCUUGUAACUGACGCUGAGGCUCGAAAGCGUGGGGAGCAAACAGGAUUAGAGACCCGUGUAGUCCCUGUCUCUUAUACC
rnacentral:rRNA from 1 species